rnacentral:tRNA from 1 species
CCCGGGAGUACCUGGCGGCCGCCGCGGGCGCGCCUUCGCGGGGCACGGCGACGCCGUUCGAGCGGCCUCCGGAG